CAGAAACUCAGAAACUCACAAAGCAGGGGUGAGACCUCUGCUCGACAGCAAAGGCAGGCAGCGUCCCUCAUCCCUGCACCACGAGGGCGUCACAGCCCCUUCCCGGGUGGCCACAGCCACAGGGCACCCUGCGCCCUCUCCGGGCCUCGCCUUCCUCUUCUGAAACAGGACGGUGAUCUCAUCCCCCUCACAGGCUGAUGCAGAGACCUAAGGAGCACACUGGCUGUACACGGAGGAAAGCACCUCGGUUUCCUGAAGCAGUGUGGCAUUCGAGUCUGAUUUCCAGCAACUCCACUGCCCCCGCAGCCAGACUUUGCAUGAGCAGAGUUCGCAAACCUUCUAGAAUCUGGCGAGGAACAGAGGAAAUCAGCUAAAGGGCGUAACAGGAAGUGGGGCCUGGACCGGGAACCUGGUUCCUCCGCUCUUUCCCUAUAGGUACAGAAGGAACAGGCCCAGGAAUGAGUAAGAAUGUUUUUCUCUACAAAUAACUCACACCCAAGCCUCAAGCAGGGUUAGGGAGUGAGGCAUUGUGUCAUCACCUACCACAGGAAGCCCAGAGCCAGGGCAGACUCCAGACACGGCACGCAGGGUUGUGACUCUACACACCUGGCGCCUGGGGCACUGGUGUCUUCCAGGCAGCUCUGCCAGGUGUCACAUCUGGACAAGACAGAGAGGUACUAUCUUCCCCUUAGGAGUGAUGAACUCCUUUCCAGAAGCUUCCUGCAGGCUUCUCCUCAUGCCUCACGUCUAGAAUAGAGUGAUCUGCAUGUUCCAAGAACAGUCACUGGUUGGAGAGUUGGUAUCACCGUGACUGGGUGAGCCUGAUGGCUCUAAACUCUGGCUGUACAUCAGAAGCACACACUGAGCUUCUGAAAAGGAGAGGCCUGGGCCCCACUUCCAGAGAUUCAGUUCAAUGGAUCUCCUGUAGUACCUGAGCAUCAGAACUUCGUAGCCCCCGAAGGUGCAUGCUACGGCCAGAAAGAAACUCAGGGAAAAAUGGAUGUUGCAGAGACGUCGCCACAAAUGAAACCCACAGCGACAGGAGAAAGCGGCUCGCGUCCCGUUGAAGAAGAUGCUUCCCUGGAUUACUGUGCAGAGUUGAAGCUUUACCUUUCACCUGGAGAACGCGUGGUUCUGUGACCAAAACAGUGGCAGCUCCUCCACCAGCCCCUGCUGCUCCCAUCCCUUCCAGGGAAGAAACUUUUGUUUCUGUGAUGCCAGCGCAGGCAUUCAGAGCAAAGCCACUUCCAGGAAAUUCUAAGAAUGAGGUGCGGGCACCACUGGGCUGGCGCAUGAGAGUCAUGUGCCUCAGACUCCACGCCCCCUGCUGACCGUGCCCACAGGCUCCCAGGUUAUCUGUGGCGGAGGUCAGGGUCUGCUGGGCAGGGUCAGGGAUGUCUGGUUGGGCUGAAGCAGAUGCAGGGGUCCUGCGGUCACCACUGCCUCCGAUGAAGCUCUGAAUGGUCUUCUCUGUUCUUCCAUACGGUCAUGUGCCACACAACAACAUUUCCAACCACAGACAGCGUAUACUAUGGUUGUCCUGUAAGAGUAUAAGGGAGCUGAAAAAUUCCUAUCAUGUGAUGACAUUGUAGCCACCUCAACGUCUUAGCACAAUUAUAUAUAUAUACACACACACAUAUAUAUACUUUAUAUGUAGAGAGAGAGAGUGUGGCCUACGUGUGCAGUGUUUAUAAAGUCUGCAGUAGUCAUAGUGAUGUCCUAGGUCUUCACAUUCACUCCCGACUCACCCACUGACUCACAAGAGCAGCUGCCAGUCCUGCAAGCUCCACUCAUGAUUAGCCUUCGAGCUUCCUGAGAACUGAGACAACGAGGUCCCCUCCAUCUUUGAGUCAGCCUGGCCUCGGGGACAGAGGAUGGAUUUUGGAGUCGGACAAGCCCCGGCUGAGGCUCCCUUCAGUCAUGACCUUCCAAGACGAGAAGCUUCACGGCAGGCAAUGAACAGAGACGGCGUCAUCUCCAAGGCUCAGUGGAGCGAGUCACGUCACCCUCACUUAGCUGCAUGGCGCAUACCAUGAGUCUUGACCAUCACCCGUGGCUUCAUAAAAACUGACCUUUAUUCAGUGAGACCUUCCUGAGUGUCCGUGCUGCGUUUAACUCUUUGAAACAUAAUCUCAUUUAGUCCUCACAGCAUCACCCAGGAGGGAGAUACUAUCUUCAUUCCCGUUUUGCAGGUUCAUCGACGUGUAAGGAUGUCCCCAUCCUGAAGGCUGAAUGAUGGCCGUUGUGUGCACAGACCACGUAAUGUUGAUCCAUUCGUCUGUUGGUGGGUGCUCGGCUGCUUCCGCCUCUCGGCUAUUGUGAACAGAGCUGCCGUGAAGACAGGAGUGCAAGUAUCUCUCUGAGACUGUGCUUCCCAUUCUUUGUGUGAUGCCCAGAAGUGGAACUGCUGGACCCUACAGUCAUUCUGUUUCCUUUUUUGAGGAACUGCCAUACUCUUCACCACAGUGGCUGCACCAUUUUACAUUAUCUUAUUCACCCAUUCUUUAAAUCACUGUUUUUUGGAAGGCAGAAAACUGUAGCUCACUGGGAAACCAGCCACAUCAUUGGUGCUCAGAGCAUUGAAGGUCUGUCUCUUGGGAACCCAGAGAUUUAGGGAGUCCCAGCUCUCUGUCCAGCCACACAGACAAUGAGUGCUGCCUGCCUAGAGCUGCCCGAAUGGGGAGGGGCAUGUAGCUUGGCACGAAGAUGGACUCCUGUGCCAAAAACAGCCGCACACAAAGCCCUCUGGUGUGAAAUGGUAUUGGAGUUAGUUAUGCAGGAGAAUGUCCUUGUUUGGGAAGUAUGUGCAGAAGUGUUUAGGGGUAAAGCAGCGGCACUGCCAUGCAGGAGAGGCAGCACAGGACCCUCCUGUUGGAGUGCUGCCCCCCAGCCCCCUGCCCACUAACAGGGUUCCUGAAGAGCUAAGAGCCUUUCGAUCUGCUAGACUGUCUGGCGAGGGUUUCCCUGACUAUUCUCCACGGGGAGUUCACCCAGCUGGAAACAAUAACUGCCCCUGCACCCGAUUCCUGAACCCCCCCGCACCCCACUGUAGUCUGCAAAACUCCCAUCACCUGAACAACAGACCAGAGGAGGAAAGAUUCACAGCACUCCACUGACCAGCUAAUACUUACUGAACACCAGGGACGCUGAGAACUGGGGCAGAAGGAGGCUCCAAGGGCUUCCCCUUCUAAUCCCGGCAUCAUGAGUUCAUUCACUGGUGCAACUCAGUAAACAUUUCCUGGGCACCUACUCCAGAAAUGAAAGGCAUGGAUGGGGCAGCCACCUAACAAGAGGCAAACACUAUCGCCUGGUCUUUUUUUACUAAUUAGAGCAGAACGCUUUUGUAUCAAAAUAACUGAAUUAUGAAACCAGCUGUGCAAAAAUCCUAAGUGAGACACAAAGAUUUUUCAGACUCAUCAGUUGCUGUCACCAUUCAAGAAAGCCAUUGCCUUAGGGACCUUGCAGAUUUCACCAUGAAAUAGGUAAAUAUGAACUCAUCUCCACGUCUUUCCCACUGACGCAGUAGCCCGCGCUCCUGGCCCUAGAAUGAAAUACGACCCACGGAUGCUGAGUGCCCCUGUCUGUGUACAGCCUGAGCGGAGCCACAAAUACACUCUGUCUUCAGCAAUCCAUCUGAAAUCAAGGAGAGAGGACCAAGAUGUGGGAAAUAAUUAAACAAAGUGCAAAGAAAAUAAACAGCAGGAGCAGCUUGGGCUAGCUGCGGGUGGUCAUUCCAGAGGGCGUGCAGCCCUGGAGCUGGCAGAAUGGGAUUCAGAAGGAUGGAGAAGGGCAGGAGGACUACACCAUGGUGGAAUGGCCAGGGCUGCUGAGGGGAGAGGGCCGCAGCUGAGGGAACAAUGCCUUUGGCCUCCGCGUGGUGUGAAGGUGAGCAUGGCCAUGCAAGUGCUGCAACAGCAACAAAUCCUGUGUCACUGCAUUAUUAAAUAGUACUCAUUUUCACUAACGGAGGAAAGAGGAACACACUGGUUAAUUCCCUAUGUUGUGUUCCAGGGAGCUGGGCACAGCUGGCAUCAUAUCAUCAGGAGACUCUCCACACAUUCCAGGCACUUAGAGAAAUGGGAAACGGCGCAGGGUGGGUGGAGAAAAGGAGAAACGAACAUGUUCAAAGGAUCCGCUCACUUUUCUAUAUCGCUAACAGGUCAAGCCAUUUGUUUGAGCAGAGGCAUUUUGGGGUCUAUGAUAAGCAGAGUGAGGGCCCGAGUUGAAGACAGUGGGAGACUGAGGGAGGAGAGGAAGGGCAUCUUAAGGCAGGGGGCCCCCGGGCCAGGGCCCCCCAGGGAAAGCCUGGGCAGUGUGUGACUCGGCCUCUGAGCCGUCCACUGCGAGAGCCUCUCAGCUGAAUCCUUGAUAUUUUGCAACACACGUAAUAUCAUGGCCAAUGGUCUGAGGGUGUGGGAUUCACUCAAGCUGGGGGUGACUUCCACAUUUGGGUGUGUGUAGAGGAUGAGGACAGACUGGGAGCCAAGACCCCAGGAAGUCUGUCAUGCAGGGAGCACAGGUGUGGGCACCUCGGCCCCUGAGGGUCCCUCCCGACAUCUGGAGUAUAAGGAACCCAGCAUGAAACAAACCUCAGGAACCAGGGAGACCUUGGCCGCACUUGGGCCUUCAAUACAUGAAUGUGGAAGAGCCUCGUACCAUUCAAUUAUUACUCACAUGAAGCAACUGCUGCGCUGUCGUUGCUGUUUUUGCUUGUACCUGUCCCGCCCCUCCCCCAGCAAAGUCAGUUAGAAGCAGACGCUGCUCAGUAACCAGUGGUACUUUCAUUAUUGAUGGCUUGGUUUCAUGCUAUCUGUGAUCUCCUUCCCUUUCUCUUUUUACUGAUCUCACCGGUAUUUGAAAAUUGGUACACGAUGUAGCUGACUACACCGUAGUCAAUUUUUUGAUUUCCCCAUCCACCAAGAAACGCUCCCUUACGGGUCAAAAAGCAAUUCCCCGGCUCUCUUCCCUUUUCCUGCGCACCGGCAGGCAGCCUUUCCUGCUGGUCCCAGUGCUUCUCGGAGGGCACCAUCACGCGCCGCCCUGGCCUCGCCCACGCAGGGCUCUGGAACGGCCCUGUGGCUGAGGCCAAGGGCACCCCUCCAAUGCCCACUGCCCUGCUGAUAUCCCCGACACCGCCCACCUCUCCACCUUCCACGCUGCUCCGCCCUCCUCCGCCACACACACUCCAAACCUGCAGUAUUCUGAGAAACGCUGAUUCACGUGUCAAUGGGGGGUAUAGGAAGAGAGAUGAAGAUAGUCAAGUUUCCAUUCUCAAAAUUCUCAAAAUUCAAAGGAAAACACCAUUGAGGUAGCUUAUGAUUAUUGGCACCUUACAGACUGGGAAACUGAGGCUCCUUCUGCCAAGGACGAGGGGCAGGAGGAACCAAAGGUCUGCAGAGAAGACAGAAAGCUGCCAGCGCCUCUCCAGGGCCUUGAUGGGGAGCUGGUGCUCGGCCCCAGCAGCCCUGGGGCAAUCUCUAAAGCAGAGAAAGAGAGGUGCUUCAUGAAGAGGUCUUGGGCUUUCUUUAGAAUUCAGCCCUUCCCCUUUCUUCUUCCUAGGGGACUCCCAGCAUAGUUUACCCUGGGAGCCCUGACUGUGUUGCAACGGGCUCAGGGUAGAGACCCGGUGACAUGGAACCAGCCAGGCAGCAACCUAUGCCUGCAAGUGAGUGUGGAGAAGAAGGAGGUGCAGGAUCUGCCGCAAGGAGGGGCGCUCAGCAUCAGUCUUGUGAAGUCAUCAGUGUGCUCCGCUGUCCAUGUAGCAGCAGUUACACCAGCCAAAGAGAGAAACAAAGUCAGGGCAUGUGUACGUGCCCCGGUGCCCUUUUGGUUUCCGUUAGGCACCUUGCUCAAUUUCCUGAUAAACAAAACAGAGCCAUCUGUGACUCUUCCAGCACACCUCCACUUUUAGGGAAUUUUUAGGGAUUUUAGGUCCCAGAGAGGAGAAACAGAACAGGGGAAGAAGUGCCCGAUCGGUGUUAGGGGCCAUGGUUCGAGGUCCUGCUUGUGUGACCUUCAGCAAGUUACCUUCCCUGUUUGCUUCCAUUUCCACACCUGUGCAACAGGGCUGCGCUCUGUCUGAGAGACUAGAGGGUCACGUCGGAUCAUGAAUAGCGUUUGGAACUGCUAAACACGCAUUCAGUAAUCUCAUUUGUCAAGGAUGGGAGCUCAGACCACAGGGCCUGUCUGAGACACAGCUGGGAAGUUUUUUUCUAGUUUCCCUUUUCUGAAAAUCUGCUCCCACUCGGUGGUUUCUCCUGCCUACCACUGGCACCCAGCGUCUGGAUAUGUUGCCUACUGCACUGCCUACCAAGAACGCGUCAACGUUAUCCCCAUGUUGUGUGAGAGCAGGAAAAGAGGGUCUCCAUCUUCGAGCUGAAGAGUCUUUCCCAGAGUGGAUGUGCAGCCACCACCUGCCCAGGGGGUAUUUUCCCAGAGCAUCAUUUCUACUCUACAAAGAAUUUUAAAUUUUGUGGGGUUUAUUUUGUUUGUUUGUUUGUUUGUUUUUUGAGAUGAAGUCUUGUUCUGUUGCCCAGGCUGGAGUGCAGUGGUGUGAUCUCG
rnacentral:lncRNA from 10 species